GGAGUAGCCAAGUAGGAGGUGUAGUGCCUGCUGAAGGGGAAAUAAAAACAAAAUAGGAAUUGAUGCUGCAAGCAGGUUGCUAGAAGUUAGGUUUGAGGUGGGCUUAGAGAUGAUGAAGUUCUAAAGGGUUGCUAAGCCCCUGCCUGUGCUGCUAAUAGGUUGGGGUUAGCAGGGGCAUCCCAGCCCUCCUAGAGGCUUAAAAUAAAGUUGGUAAUGAGGUUAGGCAUUGUUUUUGAAGUAAUUUGUGGUUGGAUUGACUGCAGGUCACCUGUGAUUGCUCCAAAUAGCAGAGGGAGAGAAAAUCUUUGUGUUGGCCAUGGAGAAGGUGUGAACAGGAACACAGGGGAUGGCAGAUCUACUGGAAUGAUGAAUGUUUCAGAUCUCUCUGCUGUGCUCCAGUCUGAUGUAACGGGCUCCAAACCUGCACACAUCCUCACUGAGGAAGGCUGGUCUGCAGGGAUUAUUUCCAAGGGUACUUUUUCAAGGUGACAACACACCCUGGCUGGUAGUCGUUACUUUUGUAAUCAUCUCUAAUCAGACACUGAAAUAAAACUGUUUUGCCAAAUUGCA
rnacentral:lncRNA from 1 species